AAGCCUUCUAUAAAAACACGUCUUUAAUGUUCUCCUUACAUUUAAAUAAUAAAUAGCCCAGUCUUCGGCAGUCAACGGCAGAUUCAACGAUUACACAGAUUAUUCAAGUGCCCGUCGAUAGUUCAUAAUCUCUUGUAAAAUAUGCCGACAUCAACCGUAACCAGCCACACCUUCAUAGGUCUGAAGCAACCUCUGCCCCUCGCAGAUAUGAAUGAAAUGCCUGAGUGACUCCCUAGGUGGCAUGUUUCAUGGGCCGUCCAGUUUCGAAUUAGUUUAUAAACUAAAUACAAAUAUGGUG